CAGAGGGUUCGAUCCUGGCUCAGAUUGAACGCUGGCGGGAUGCCUUACACAUGCAAGUCGAACGGCAGCACGGACUUCGGUCUGGUGGCGAGUGGCGAACAGGUGAGUAAUGUAUCGGAACGUGCCUAGUAGCGGGGGAUAACUACGCGAAGCGUAGCUAAUACCGCGCCGCCCUUCGGGGGAAAGCGGGGGACCUUCGGGCCUCGCACUAUGGAAACGGCCGAUAUCGGAUUAGCUAGUUGGUGGGGUAACGGCUCACCAAGGCGGCGUCAAGCUGGUUUGAGAGGACGACCAGCCACACUGGGACUGAGACACGGCCCAGACUCCUACGGGAGGCAGCAGUGGGAAUUUUGGACAAUGGGGAAACCCUGAUCCAGCCAUCCCGCGUGUGCGAUGAAGGCCUUCGGGUUGUAAAGCACUUUGGCAGAAGAAACGGCACGGGAUAAUACCCCGUGCAUGACUGACGGUACCUGCAGAAUAAGCACCGGCUAACUACGUGCCAGCAGCCGCGGCGUAGGGUGCAAGCGUUAAUCGGAAUUACUGGGCGUAAAGCGUGCGCAGGCGGUUCGGAAAGAAAGAUGUGAAAUCCCAGAGCUUAACUGCUGGAACUGCAUUUUUAACUACCGAGCUAGAGUGUGUCAGAGGGAGGUGGAAUUCCCGCGUGUAGCAGUGAAAUGCGUAGAUAUGCGGAGGAACCGAUGGCGAAGGCAGCCUCCUGAGACCUGCUGCAGCGCUCAUGCAGCCAUUGGGGAGCAAACGGGAUUAGAUACCCUGGUAGUCCACGCCUAAACGAUGUCAACUAGCUGUUGGGGGCCUUCGGGCCUUGGUAGCGCAACUAACGCGUGAAGUUGACCGCCUGGGGAGUACGGUCGCAAGAUUAAAACUCAAAGGAAUUGGCGGGGACCCGCACAAGCGGUGGAUGAUGUGGAUUAAUUCGAUGCAACGCGAAAAACCUUACCUACCCUUGACAUGUCUGGAAUCCCGAAGAGAUUUGGGAGUGCUCGCAAGAGAACCGGAACACAGGUGCUGCAUGGCUGUCGUCGGCUCGUGUCGUGAGAUGUUGGGUUAAGUCGCAACGAGAGCGCAACCCUUGUCAUUAGUUGCUACGAAAGGGCACUCUAAUGAGACUGCCGGUGGCAAACCGGAGGAAGGUGGGGAUGACGUCAGAGUCCUCAUGGCCCUUAUGGGUGGGGCUACCCGUCAUACAAUGGUCAAGGACAGAGGGUCGCCAACCCGCGAAAGCCAAUCCCAGAAACCCAGUCGUAGUCCGGAUCGCAGUCUGCAACUCGACUGCGUGAAGUCGGAAUCGCUAAUCGCGCGGAUCAGCAUGUCGCGGUGAAUACGUUCCCGGGUCUUGUACACACCGCCGUCACACCAUGGGAGUGGGUUUUGCAGAAGUAGUUAGCCCUAACCGUGAGAGGGCGAUUACCACGGUAGGAUUCAUGACUAAAUUGAAGUCGUAACAAGGUAG
rnacentral:rRNA from 1 species